rnacentral:rRNA from 1 species
CCUACGGGAGGCAGCAGUGAGGAAUAUUGGUCAAUGGGCGAGAGCCUGAACCAGCCAAGUCGCGUGAGGGAGUACUGCCCUAUGGGUUGUAAACCUCUUUUGUCGGGGAGCAAAAGCCGGACGUGUCCGGCUGUGAGAUUACCCGAAGAAAAAGCAUCGGCUAACUCCGUGCCAGCAGCCGCGGUAAUACGGAGGAUGCGGGCGUUAUCCGGAUUUAUUGGGUUUAAAGGGGGCGCAGGCGGAUUUUUAAGUCAGCGGUAAAAUCGUGGGGCUCAACCCCAUCCAGCCGUUGAAACUGGGGAUCUAGAGUGUGCGAGAGGUAUGCGGAAUGCGUGGUGUAGCGGUGAAAUGCAUAGAUAUCACGCAGAACCCCGAUUGCGAAGGCAGCAUACCGGUGCACAACUGACGCUCAGGCACGAAAGCGUGGGUAUCGAACAGGAUUAGAUACCCCAGUAGUC